UGCAUGUCAAAGUUCAAAUUGCUUAUAAUAGUGAAACCGCGAACGGCUCAUUACAACAGCCAUAAUUUACUUGAUGUUGAUUUUCCACGUGGAUAACUGUGGUAAUUCUAGAGCUAAUACAUGCACCAAAGCUCCGAUCUCAUGACGAGCGCAUCUAUUAGACCAAAAACCAAUCGAGAAUAUUCGCCUCAAAACGAAUGCCUCGUAAAUUUGGUGACUCUGAAUAGCUUAGCUGAUCGCAUGGUCUCGCACCGGCGACGUAUCUAUCAAGUGUCUGCCUUAUCAACUUUCGAUGGUAGUUUAUAUGCCUACCAUGGUUGUAACGGGUAACGGAGAAUAAGGGUUCGACUCCGGAGAGGGAGCCUGAGAAACGGCUACCACAUCCAAGGA
rnacentral:rRNA from 1 species